AGAAAUGAUUUCGGAGCCUGGGAUUUCGGGAGGCUGCCUCCAUGGAGCCUAUCGGUAAGAUGAUCCUCAGGGGAGUAUCUGCUGCAGUGGAGGAUCAUCUGGGAAAGGAAACUGUGAAAGAUGGAUAGAGUUUUGAUGAAGACUAAGAACUGCACGGUGAAAGAGGCCUUGUCUUGUGAUCUUGAUCUAUGAUGUAGAGUACUGAAGAGAAAGAAAAACUGGUCGUUUGUUUUGGGCAAAUGAAUAUAGAAUUGUAAAAUGUGGAACUAUAGCAGCUGAAUGCUGUGGGACUACAUUCUGUCUUUGCCUCUAGCACAGAAUUCCUGUGUAAUAUUUGUCAAGACAUUUACCCACAGAGCUUAUACAAAUGUUCCCUUGCUUUUAAAGGCACUUUUUUGAGACCAUGGGAUCUGAUCUGUGGUGAACUGAACUUGAAAGUAAUGAUCCC